GUAUUUAUGGGGAAAAAAUUACCAAUCAUAGAAUUUACGAAAAACAAUAGCAAUGCGCAGAAUUACGUAAAUAAUUUAGACACGCACUUAAACUUUUUCGAGGCAGUUUUAGACUAUAAGAAUUCUUCGAUCAAGAAAAAAGUAAAUUAUAUACGUAUAUUCCGAAUAUUACAGGAGUUUCACGGGUAUAUUAAAAGUAUUAGGAUAGUGAACAAAAGAAUCGCUGAGGUUACGUUUAGAGACGCGUAUAAAGGUAUGGAACAUAUAGAAAAAUCAAAGAAAAAGAAGAAAAGACUUGUGUGUACAAAAUCCCGCGAAGAGCAACCGGAAGGUGGGGGGUUUGCAGAGAGUGGGAGUACUCACCCAAGGAAUUAAUAGAACUAGCGGAAGAGGGUCAAGGUAUCAUCAGUGCGGAAAGGCUGAAAAAACGUAUAAAAACUGAAAAGGCAAUAGACUAUAAAGAGUCGAUGUUAGUGCUAGUGAAGUUUGCAGGUGAUACGUUACCUACCAGAAUAAGUCUCUACGAGGGUGCGCUCAACAUCAACAUCGAUCCAUAUGUCAAAGGAGUGAAACAAUGUUUCAAGUGCUUAAAGUAUGACCACUUUAAAAAUAUAUACAGAGCGGAGGACAAAAAGUGCUUCAUCUGUGGGGAGAAUUACCACGGGAGGUACAACGGUGUGCCAAAAUGUGUGAAUUGCGGCGAAAGCCAUGGAUCAUUGAGCAGAAUGUGUCUCCACUGGCAGAUGGAAAGCGCCACAAAUAAAUUGAUGGUUCAUAAAAACAUAGCCUUCAGCGAAGCAAGAGAAGAGAGAAACUUCCCAAGCUUACCUAACAGGAGAAUGUACAGAGAGGCAACGUGAGAGGACAGGCCGUGUCCCAUUAAGAAAAACCCUUGGGAAAAGAAAAUCAAAGAAAAGGAGGUAACGUUUGUAAAUAAGAAUAGAUACAAUGUUCUCAACGACGAAAAUGAGGGUUAUGAGCCAGGUAACUGGGAGGCGAAAAACUUAGAGACGGGAACAAGAUACUAGGAUCAUACCUACCAAAUAAACAAAAAAACACAAAAACCAAAAAGAGAAUUCUCAGAAGAUGACAUCGAGGCAGUCAUAAGCUGGAUCACAAACUUCAACAUGGAGGGCAUCAUUAUAAAUAGAAUUAAUAGAAAUAAAAAAAUAUACCAUCCAAGGAGAAUAGAUUUGGACGACUCGGAUUAUAAACCAGCAAGAGCAAAAAGAGAGUAUAUGGAAGGUAGAAAAGCAUGGGAAAGAGAGGAUAGAGUGAGGAAAGAAUUGCCUAAAUACGCCCCAAUUAAGGAGGUCGAGAAUAACAGAAAAGCACUAGUAAGAAAAAAUCAUGGGAUGAUAAGGUCAACUUUUAAGAACGAGAAAAGAUUUGGAAGGACAUAUAGCAGAAGGCCGAGGUUUCCGAACGUGAUACCUAGGGAUACGGGGAGAGACGAGGAAGAAAAGAAGAAGGCGACAAAGAUCGCAAAGGAAAUAGAUGAACUAAAACCAGCCCAGAUCAUAGGCAGUUUGGGAUCAGAAAGAGAUGCAAGGGAUGCACAAGAAGGAAAAGAACAAGAAUCGAACAUCAGAACAAAUAUGAUGUCGGACGAAGAGUGGGAAGGUGAAACAUCGAUAACCGAUAAAAAAGAAGAAGAAGAGGAGACGAUGCUCAUACACGAUGAGAAUAUGGAGGAUCUACUGAAGUUCGAAUCCAUUGGGGCCACGGUAGAGGUGAUAGAAAUCAGCACGGUAGAAGAAAGAAGCCCAUCAGAGGGACAAGCGAAAGAAAACAAGGAAAUGGAAAAUAACGAGUACCCGGAAGACGGAGAAGAAUGGGGAACUCCGCAACAGGGAAGAGAAAGAUUAUGUCGAAUUAUGUAAAGAUAGGCUUUUGGAACGCGAAUAGCAUUAUGAAUAAAACAAUAAACUUAUUAAAUUGUAUCGACGAAUAUGAUGUGAUGUUUGUAUGCGAAUCAUGGGUAGAAAAAAUACAAGAAAAGAAUAUUAAGGGAUACUUAGUAGUAUAUAAUAAUAUUCCGGAAUUCGAAGGGAAAAGAAGAAACGGAACGUCAGAAAUCCAGGUAGCAAUUUCACCAAGGAAAAAUGGAAAUACUUGUUUGAUAAAAUGAAUAUUAAGGAUAACACUGUAAUAAUAGGAGAUCUAAAUGCAAAGCACACGAGUUGGAACUGUAAGAGGGAAAACACGUCAGGAAGUGCAUUGGCUAUAGUAUUAGAAGAAAUAGAAAUGGAAAUAGUUAACACGGAAACAAUAACUAGGAUUGACCUUAUCAUUACACACCCAUAUAUGUUAGGUAACUUAACAUACUCUGAGUCUAACAUUAACCUAGGAUCUGACCAUCAGAUAAUUAACUUAAUAUUAUACGCAAAUGAUAGUAUAGGUUUAGAUAACUAUCGCAGCAAAUUUGCGAGAAAAUCUGGCAGACUGUAUGAUAAAAAAGAAAAUGUGAAUUGGGAUAAUAUAAGGGAAGAAUUAGAAAGGAAAAAGGAUAAAAUAAUGGAAGAAUUCAAGAAAGCUGAGGAUAUAGGAAACAAAUAUAAGGUAUGGGUAAGCAAUAUCAAGGAAGUAUUUAUACUAGUUAAGGGAAAGGAAAGUAGGACAAGUAAUAGACAGGUAAACAAUCGAGACAACAUACUACAGAAUAAUAACCGAAAAGUAAGGAAUCAUAAUGAGAGGAAACCGAACCAUGCGAACAAUAAAAAAUUCGGGUGGGACGAAGAAUGCAGAGUUGCUUGGGAAGCGUAGAUACAAAGUAGUAAGAGGCUAUGGAAUGCAGGGAAUAUGGAAGACCAUAUUAUCAUGGAACAAAAUAGAAAGAGAUGGAACAAAAUGAGAAGAGAAAAGAAAGAAAAAGCAUGGGAAGAAUUCACGGAUCAAAUUUCCAAAGAAAACGACAUAGGCAAGAUCUGGCAAAAGGUAAGGAGUGUAAAAAAUUACUACACCAAGAAAAAAUCAGCUAUGAAUAACAAAACUAGGAAAGAAUUAGAGAAAAAAGAAAUGGAAGAAAUUAAAAGGAAAAAUUAUGAACUAAACAAUCCAUUCAUAGGAAUAGAAACAGAAAUCAAAGAGUACAAUGAAGGAAGGGAAUCUAUAUGAUCCAAAAAGAUAGAAAACACGGAAAUAAUGUUAACAAUCGCAUCACAAAAAGGCAAAAGAUCGGCACCAGGAAACGACGGGGUGGAUUACAAGAUCAUAAACGAAUUACCAGGGUUCAUGAGGAACGUGUAUUGUGAAUUGAUAAAAGAGAGCUGGAACAGAGAAGAAAUUCCCCAGGAAUAGAGAGAAGGCCGAAUAUGUUUCCUGGAUAAACCGAAUAAAGCUGCAUUGAGACUCAUCACACUUACCUCGUGCGCAGUAAGAUUUUGGAGAAAAUAAUUAACAGAAGGUUGUUAAUGUAGGCGGAAACUAAUAAUAUAAUCGAUGACACGCAGUCGGGUUCCAGAAAUAAGAGGUCGACUCUGGAUAACUUGAAUAGAUUAAUAACAGAAAUCAAGUACAACCGAAUGAAAAAUCUGGACUCGGCAACAGUGUUCGUGGAUAUCAAAGGACUGUACGACAAUGUCGACUUCAAGAAAUUGAUAGAGAUACUCAUGAAAUUGAAGUGUCCCGAAAAAAUAGUAAAGUGGCUUAAGGGGGUAGACACGGCACGUGACCUCUCCAAUUCGGAAGGUCGGUAUUACAGCAGCUACUCUCUGCAUAGAAAUAGUGUUACCAUUAAAUAUGCGGUAGCGGAGGAAAACUAGAUGGAGCUGCUCGUUAUUGCCAUACAGUAUAAUUUCUUCUCAACAACAUAUACUGUAUACUUCUUCCUUGAGUGAUUCUGAAUGCUCAGCGUAGGAAGUAGUAGUAUUCUGUUCCACGUUGCGUAUUAUGUUUGUGUAGUGCGGUCACACUUCACCAUCACGCGUGCAUAUACAAAUAGGAGCUAGGUUGGGGGACCCUCGGCGCCGCUGCGGAGCCUCGUGAGUUGCUCCGCGCUAUCGAGAAUUUGGAAAACUU